rnacentral:rRNA from 1 species
GGGUUGUGAGGUUAAGCGACUAAGCGUACACGGUGGAUGCCCUGGCAGUCAGAGGCGAUGAAGGACGUGCUAAUCUGCGAAAAGCGUCGGUAAGGUGAUAUGAACCGUUAUAGCCGGCGAUGUCCGAAUGGGGAAACCCAGUGUGAUUCGUCACACUAUCGUUAACUGAAUACAUAGGUUAACGAGGCGAACCGGGGGAACUGAAACAUCUAAGUACCCCGAGGAAAAGAAAUCAACCGAGAUUCCCCCAGUAGCGGCGAGCGAACGGGGAGCAGCCCAGAGUCUGAAUCAGCUUGUGUGUUAGUGGAACGGUCUGGAAAGUCCGACGGUACAGGGUGAUAGUCCCGUACACCAAAAUGCACAGGCUGUGAACUCGAAGAGUAGGGCGGGACACGUGGUAUCCUGUCUGAAUAUGGGGGGACCAUCCUCCAAGGCUAAAUACUCCUGACUGACCGAUAGUGAACCAGUACCGUGAGGGAAAGGCGAAAAGAACCCCGGCGAGGGGAGUGAAAAAGAACCUGAAACCGUGUACGUACAAGCAGUGGGAGCACCUUCGGGUGUGACUGCGUACCUUUUGUAUAAUGGGUCAGCGACUUAUAUUCUGUAGCAAGGUUAACCGUAUAGGGGAGCCGCAGGGAAACCGAGUCUUAACUGGGCGUUAAGUUGCAGGGUAUAGACCCGAAACCCGGUGAUCUAGCCAUGGGCAGGUUGAAGGUUGGGUAACACUAACUGGAGGACCGAACCGACUAAUGUUGAAAAAUUAGCGGAUGACUUGUGGCUGGGGGUGAAAGGCCAAUCAAACCGGGAGAUAGCUGGUUCUCCCCGAAAGCUAUUUAGGUAGCGCCUCGUGAACUCAUCUUCGGGGGUAGAGCACUGUUUCGGCUAGGGGGUCAUCCCGACUUACCAACCCGAUGCAAACUACGAAUACCGAAGAAUGUUAUCACGGGAGACACACGGCGGGUGCUAACGUCCGUCGUGAAGAGGGAAACAACCCAGACCGCCAGCUAAGGUCCCAAAGUCAUGGUUAAGUGGGAAACGAUGUGGGAAGGCACAGACAGCCAGGAUGUUGGCUUAGAAGCAGCCAUCAUUUAAAGAAAGCGUAAUAGCUCACUGGUCGAGUCGGCCUGCGCGGAAGAUGUAACGGGGCUAAACCAUGCACCGAAGCUGCGGCAGCGACACUAUGUGUUGUUGGGUAGGGGAGCGUUCUGUAAGCCUGCGAAGGUGACCUGUGAGGGUUGCUGGAGGUAUCAGAAGUGCGAAUGCUGACAUAAGUAACGAUAAAGCGGGUGAAAAGCCCGCUCGCCGGAAGACCAAGGGUUCCUGUCCAACGUUAAUCGGGGCAGGGUGAGUCGACCCCUAAGGCGAGGCCGAAAGGCGUAGUCGAUGGGAAACAGGUUAAUAUUCCUGUACUUGGUGUUACUGCGAAGGGGGGACGGAGAAGGCUAUGUUAGCCGGGCGACGGUUGUCCCGGUUUAAGCAUGUAGGCUGAUUGUCCAGGCAAAUCCGGAUAAUCAAGGCUGAGGUGUGAUGACGAGGCACUACGGUGCUGAAGUAACAAAUGCCCUGCUUCCAGGAAAAGCCUCUAAGCAUCAGGUAACAUCAAAUCGUACCCCAAACCGACACAGGUGGUCAGGUAGAGAAUACCAAGGCGCUUGAGAGAACUCGGGUGAAGGAACUAGGCAAAAUGGUGCCGUAACUUCGGGAGAAGGCACGCUGGUGUGUAGGUGAAGUCCCUGCGGAUGGAGCUGAGACCAGUCGAAGAUACCAGCUGGCUGCAACUGUUUAUUAAAAACACAGCACUGUGCAAACACGAAAGUGGACGUAUACGGUGUGACGCCUGCCCGGUGCCGGAAGGUUAAUUGAUGGGGUUAUCCGUAAGGAGAAGCUCUUGAUCGAAGCCCCGGUAAACGGCGGCCGUAACUAUAACGGUCCUAAGGUAGCGAAAUUCCUUGUCGGGUAAGUUCCGACCUGCACGAAUGGCGUAAUGAUGGCCAGGCUGUCUCCACCCGAGACUCAGUGAAAUUGAACUCGCUGUGAAGAUGCAGUGUACCCGCGGCAAGACGGAAAGACCCCGUGAACCUUUACUAUAGCUUGACACUGAACAUUGAGCCUUGAUGUGUAGGAUAGGUGGGAGGCUUUGAAGCGUGGACGCCAGUCUGCGUGGAGCCAACCUUGAAAUACCACCCUUUAAUGUUUGAUGUUCUAACGUUGGCCCCUUACCGGGGUUGCGGACAGUGUCUGGUGGGUAGUUUGACUGGGGCGGUCUCCUCCCAAAGCGUAACGGAGGAGCACGAAGGUUAGCUAAUCCUGGUCGGACAUCAGGAGGUUAGUGCAAUGGCAUAAGCUAGCUUGACUGCGAGCGUGACGGCGCGAGCAGGUGCGAAAGCAGGUCAUAGUGAUCCGGUGGUUCUGAAUGGAAGGGCCAUCGCUCAACGGAUAAAAGGUACUCCGGGGAUAACAGGCUGAUACCGCCCAAGAGUUCAUAUCGACGGCGGUGUUUGGCACCUCGAUGUCGGCUCAUCACAUCCUGGGGCUGAAGUAGGUCCCAAGGGUAUGGCUGUUCGCCAUUUAAAGUGGUACGCGAGCUGGGUUUAGAACGUCGUGAGACAGUUCGGUCCCUAUCUGCCGUGGGCGCUGGAGAAUUGAGGGGGGCUGCUCCUAGUACGAGAGGACCGGAGUGGACGCAUCACUGGUGUUCGGGUUGUCAUGCCAAUGGCACUGCCCGGUAGCUAAAUGCGGAAGAGAUAAGUGCUGAAAGCAUCUAAGCACGAAACUUGCCCCGAGAUGAGUUCUCCCUGAGACUUUAAGUCUCCUGAAGGAACGUUAAAGACGAUGACGUUGAUAGGCCGGGUGUGUAAGCGCAGCGAUGCGUUGAGCUAACCGGUACUAAUGAACCGUGAGGCUUAACCUUACAACGCCGAAG